ensembl:snoRNA SNORD24 Small nucleolar RNA SNORD24
UGCAGAUGAUGUUAAAAAUAUUUGCUAUCUUAACAGCAUUGCAGACAUUCUACCAUCAAGAUCGCUGAUGCA